rnacentral:rRNA from 1 species
CUACGGGAGGCACCAGUGGGGAAUUUUGCGCAAUGGGGGAAACCCUGACGCAGCAAUACCGCGUGAGUGAAGAAGGCCUUUGGGUCGUAAAGCUCUUUUCUUGGGGAAGAUAGUGACGGUACCCAAGGAAUAAGCACCGGCUAACUCCGUGCCAGCAGCCGCGGUAAUACGGAGGGUGCAAGCGUUGUUCGGAUUUACUGGGCGUAAAGGGCACGUAGGCGGCACAGCAAGUUAAGGGUGAAAUCCCGGGGCUCAACUCCGGAACUGCUCUUAAAACUGCUGAGCUAGAGAGAGUCAGAGGCGGGUGGAAUUCCAGGUGUAGAGGUGAAAUUCGUAGAUAUCUGGAGGAACACCGGUGGCGAAGGCGGCCCGCUGGGGCUAUUCUGACGCUAAGGUGCGAAAGCGUGGGGAGCAAACGGGAUUAGAUACCCUCGUAGUC